CUCUGUCGGGCGAGAAGAAGGCCAGUAUCACACUAUUGAAGAAUCCUCUGAAACUUUGCCAUCAGAAUGCUUUGCGGUUAGCAAUUUUCAUGUCAACUCAAAUCAGGGACUCAGUGGUCUGCAGUUAGAAUGAGUAAUCUUAUCUUGGUCACCAGUUAGAAUGAGUAAUCUUAUCUUUGUCAGUUUUAUUCUCUUGCUCCCAUUUGUAAGGAAUGAUGUGUUGGCUUAAUUGGCUCAAAUAUCUGAUCGAGAUCAGGUUUGGGUGGAAGUUCUUUCGGAAACCCUUUCACAUCUCCUUGAUAACAUUUGACAGAGGGCAGAUGUUAUGGUAAGGUUUUUCUUUUACGAUCUGGUGAUCAGAGCUCGAAUCACAUGCAUUGAUGUUUGGCGGAGUUCAAACCACAUACAUUGAUGCUUAAUUGCCACAUUAGCCAUAAUGGAACAUUUGAUUCAGG
rnacentral:lncRNA from 1 species